UACGUAGGGUGCGAGCGUUGCCCGGAUUUAUUGGGCGUAAAGGGCGCGUAGGCGGCCACGCACGUCCGUUGUGAAAUCGCCCGGCUCAACUGGGCGGGGUCAGCGGAUACGGUGUGGCUAGAGCAAGCUAGGGGGCAAUGGAAUUCCCGGUGUAGUGGUGGAAUGCGUAGAUAUCGGGAGGAACACCAGUGGCGAAGGCGGUUGCCUGGAGCUUUGCUGACGCUGAUGCGCGAAAGCGUGGGUAGCAAACAGG
rnacentral:rRNA from 1 species